GAUGAAGAACGUAGCGAAAUGCGAUAAGUAAUGUGAAUUGCAGAAUUCAGUGAAUCAUCGAAUCUUUGAACGCACAUUGCGCCCGCCAAUAUUCUGGCGGGCAUGCCUGUUCGAGCGUCAUUACAACCCUCAAGCCCCCCGGCUUGGUGUUGGGGACCGGCCACCGGUGCCCUGCUGCUUCCGCGGCAGGCGCGCCCGGCCGCCCCCGAAAUGAAUUGGCGGCCCCGUCGCGGCCUCCCUCUGCGUAGUAGCACACAUCUCGCAGCUGGAGCGCGGCGCGGCCACUGCCGUAAAACGCACCAACUUUUUUUUACAGUUGACCUCGAAUCAGGUAGGAAUACCCGCUGAACUUAAGCAUAUCAAUAAGCGGAGGA
rnacentral:misc_RNA from 1 species